rnacentral:rRNA from 1 species
GUGCCAGCCGCCGCGGUAAUACGUAGGGAGCAAGCGUUGUCCGGAAUUACUGGGCGUAAAGGGCGCGUAGGCGGGAUAUUAAGUUAGGUGUGAAAACUCCGGGCUCAACUUGGAGACUGCACUUAAAACUGGUAUUCUUGAGGACAGGAGAGGAAAGUGGAAUUCCUAGUGUAGCGGUGAAAUGCGUAGAUAUUAGGAGGAACACCAGUGGCGAAGGCGACUUUCUGGACUGUAACUGACGCUGAGGCGCGAAAGCGUGGGGAGUGAACGGGAUUAGAUACCCCGGUAAUCCACGCUGUAAACGAUGGGUACUAGGUGUAGGAGGUAUCGACCCCUUCUGUGCCGGAGUUAACGCAAUAAGUACCCCGCCUGGGGAGUACGGCCGCAAGGUUGAA